CAACUCUUUAUUAUUUGUAUAUUAUUUUUUAUAACAGUGGUAAAAACCAGGACUUACUUCAAUAUAUAACAUUAAUAAUAUUUUUAUGUUGUAAAAAAGCAAUGAGUAGUGUUAAUAAAAAGAAUAUUAUUUUUUAUGGAACUAAAAGAAAUAAACGUGGCAAUGUUAUUUGUAGUAAAAGUGGUGAUAAAUGUGAUGAUUAUACAAAAGAAGUUACCUUAGUAACUAAUUUUGAAAAACCUUAUAAAGAAUAUUAUUUAAAUGUAUCUUUAUACAUUUUUAUAACAUGUAUAGAAGCAUUCACAAAUAUAAUUAAGUGUAAUAUUAUUAAUUUUAAUCACCCCAAUAUAAACAAUAUUAUAAUCUCUAAAACAAAAAUUAUAAAGAAACAAAAAAAACAGCACAAAUAUUUAAAAAAAAAAAAAAAAACAUGUUUAGCUAUAUUUAACUAUAUAUAUAUGAGUUAUUUAUUUAAAUAUAUUAUGAAAGCAAAAAAUAUAAAAUAUUUCUACAAUACUAGGAAAUCUGUAUUAAAUUUUAUGGAUCAUUUUAUUAUAUGGAACACUAUUUUUAUUUUAAAAUAUAAAUUUAAAAAUAAUUUAAAUAUAAAAAACAUUUUAAAUUUUUGUAAUUAUAUUAUUUCUACUGAUUAUAAUAUAGAAGUCUUUUCAACCAUUUACAAUACUGUCUUUUCCUUAAAAAACUAUUUAACUUUAUGUGGAACCAAAAUUAAAAGCUUUAAUUAUUAUUUAAACGAAUGUGACAAUUUACUCUUUCAAAUUGUAGAUGAAUACAAAACUUAUGAUUAUACCCCAACAUAUUUAUGGGAAGAAUACAUAUCUAAAACAGUAAGUUUCAAUUCUUUGAUGUAUACUCACACAGAUUGCCCAGAGUAAUAGUGUAGAUGAUUUCCCCCCCCCCUACCUACCUAUUUACCUACAUUUCAACCGAUUUGUAAACACCCCAAUGUUAUGUAAUUUAUUUAUACAUACAUAUAAAAUGUAUAGAACUUGGUAGUAAUAUACCUUAUUUCAUACUAAAAAAAAAUAAAAAAAUUAAUAUGUGAAACUAUAUAUAAUGC
rnacentral:lncRNA from 1 species